GCGAAGCUCCAAGUCUCCGCUCGUCUCGGUUUGCUCAGGGACACCACUUGUCCCAUCCCACGCUGAUCUAUACGAAGAUCGCCUACGCGGUGCCAUUGUUCCCUGAAACACGACACGAUAACUCAAUCAGUCCUCGACCAUCUGGGCCGAAUACGAAACAAUAAAUACAAACUCAAAUCGGGCGAAAGUCAUGCAAGGAAGCUUAUUCCCAUCCCUCGGUUUCAUGUUGUGUCGACCCAACAUGAACUCACUUGGCUGAGAAUAAACUGAACCUUGAAUCUACCUCUAAUAUCCGUCUUAGAGGUUUACUAAACUUGACCCAAUCGAUUUACCUUCCGCCACACGUCACAAGUCCUCGUCUCUCAUGAGCGUAAGUCCUUACAGUUUACUAUCCUAGGUCCCUAGGUCCAUCUAAACCGUUUCUAUUACUCUUUUCUUUAUGCUCUUUUAUGCUCUGAUACCAUUUAAUCUGUCACGCCCCGAGCUCCGCCUAUUUGGUCGGAUUCGGGCACGCCGACAGACCGCCGAACGGACAGAGCCUUCCCUGUACGUUCUAGGUGUCACAAUCUAAACAAUACAAUACAAGAGGUUCCAAACAGGAACUAUAUUCAACCACAGAUUGCAUAAGUAUCAAAAACAUAAAACGCUAACUAUGCUAUUACAAGCAUUCAUCUCAGAAUUUUACAUUUACAAAAUUACAUAAGUCUUUAAGUUAUUACAAAACUUAUACAAAUUACUACAAAUUUGUUUCAUUCAAUCUGAACUUUGAGCUGGACCUCUUCAGGGUAUUGCUAUCUCGGUCUCAGUGGUGGGGCACUAUCUACGAUGCUACGCCCUGUCCUCGCGCCGCUGCGCCGCUCGCGUGUAACCUGUACCCUGAAAACAACACGGGGGUGAGAACUAUAUAAAUAUAGUUCCCAGUGGGUACGGCCACCCAAGAGAAGAGCUCGACCCACCAGGUCCAAAGGAGGCAACAGUAGGUUAGUUCAACAAAUAGGUAGAUAGAUAUUUG
rnacentral:lncRNA from 1 species